AACGAACGCUGGCGGCAGGCUUAACACAUGCAAGUCGAGCGCCCCGCAAGGGGAGCGGCAGACGGGUGAGUAACGCGUGGGAGUCUACCCAUCUCUACGGAAUAACGCAUGGAAACGUGUGCUAAUACCGUAUACGUCCUUCGGGAGAAAGAUUUAUCGGAGAUGGAUGAGCCCGCGUUGGAUUAGCUAGUUGGAGGGGUAAAGGCCUACCAAGGCGACGAUCCAUAGCUGGUCUGAGAGGAUGAUCAGCCACACUGGGACUGAGACACGGCCCAGACUCCUACGGGAGGCAGCAGUGGGGAAUAUUGGACAAUGGGCGCAAGCCUGAUCCGGCCAUGCCGCGUGAGUGAUGAAGGCCCUAGGGUUGUAAAGCUCUUUCACCGGUGAAGAUAAUGACGGUAACCGGAGAAGAAGCCCCGGCUAACUUCGUGCCAGCCGCCGCCGUAAUAC
rnacentral:rRNA from 1 species